AUUUGGAUACUAAAAAGCCAACCAGGUUAGUAACUUAAUCAUGCAAGAUUAGAUUAACUAUAUUUGUCCAAUAAACUGAUUUCGGCAUAAAAAAUUCAUUAUCUUGAAUUACUUCAUGCAUUAAAUCCCUGCCUCAAGAAAAGCAUCCUUGUUAAUAUAAGAACUGGUUAAAAUUUGAAGCUACAUUCUUAAUGAACAUAACAAUACAAAUAUAAAAAAAUAGUAUACAUAUCUUGAUACUGAUAGUUUUUUUGAUGAUAAAGUCACUUGUUCUUCCAUAAACUUUUCAUACACAUAUACUACCUACAUAUAGAGAGAAACUUCAUCUUAUUAGCAUUUAUAAAGGAAACAGGAAAACAAAAAGGAAAAAUACAAAUAUGCUCUUCUUUCCCUCUUCUCCAAGAUUGUACUAGGACCUUUCCUUUCCGACUUAUGUGUGUGUUGAAGGCAAUAUUGAAGGCAGUUAACAAUGAAAACUUAACAUGAAAACUUAGAAGCGUUAUAAACAUCAAAUUAGUCAACCUUAAAACUCACCAUUGAAAAGGAAAUAAGAAUGUGUAUCGAUCCAUGUGGGAAAGUGAUAGAAAAUGGAUUACCUUAAGACUCUCAUUAUAGGUUUCCUAGCAACCACACCAUUCCAGUGAACACAAACCACAAUCAAUAGAUCUUGAACUCUUCCUGAGAGUUUAGUUCUAAAUAAUUUCAUUUGUAAGGUAUUUUUUUAAAUAUUUAAACCAAAGACCACAAAGUCAAUAAGAAAUCAUGCAUAUGAACUAUAAAGGUUGGAUCUGACGUUAGAUCUUCAAAGUCAUACCAGAUUCUGAAUGAAAGCAAAGUAAAACGAUGAGGUUUUUUUACCUUCUAUGACCCAUAACAAUAUAGGUGAAAAAAUGAUACAUGAGGUUAGAUAUUCAAAGUCAAACCACAUUAUGAGUAAAAUCAAGGUAAAAAGGUGAGGUUUCGACCAAUUAUACCCAAAACACCAUAGAAAUCAUGGUCAAAAAUGGUACCUGAGGUUAAAACUUCAAAAAUAGAAAUCAAGGUCAAAUGAUGAGAGAAUAGAAUAGUAGCAUAUGCUAGAUGUUGUUAGCUAUUCGAGAGAGAUGGCGGUGGUGAACGGUGGUAAGAUGAAGUGUGACGGUGAUGAAGGUGGCUUGUUUGAUGGUAGUGAAGGUUAUGUGACAAUAAAGUUCACUGUUGGUGGGUUGUGAUGUUUGAUAUUUAGGAUUUUGGGUUUCUAAAGGAGAGAUGCGAGAGAAGAGAAAGGCGGAGGCGUUUAGCAGCGACUGUGAUUGUUUUCUCAAUGGUGAAUAUGUGAUGGGUAACUGCGUUGGAUAUGGGACUAUGGGAUGAAUUUUAGAGUAUUUUAUAGAGAGGGACACUAUUUAAGGAAGGAAGAGAUGACGACUCAUGUAGGGUUAUUCUACAAGGAAUGGGUUAUGGAGACCGAGAUAAUAGAUGAUAUAUAAAUUUUAUCUAUAGACCGAUUCCCACUUGACCGAUUCAAUUGGCAAAACCUAAGGAAGAACUCGUUCUUCUUUGACCACCUUAGUUUAAUUUGAAGAUGAGAGCAAAGACCAAUUCAAAAUGUACGUAAUUCAAUAGGAUAAGAUUUGGU
rnacentral:lncRNA from 1 species